rnacentral:rRNA from 1 species
UACGGGGGGGGCAAGCGUUGUUCGGAAUUACUGGGCGUAAAGGGCGCGUAGGCGGCCUGCUAAGUCGGACGUGAAAUCCCUCGGCUCAACCGGGGAACUGCGUCCGAUACUGGUGGGCUCGAAUCCGGGAGAGGGAUGUGGAAUUCCAGGUGUAGCGGUGAAAUGCGUAGAUAUCUGGAGGAACACCGGUGGCGAAGGCGGCAUCCUGGACCGGUAUUGACGCUGAUGCGCGAAAGCCAGGGGAGCAAAGCGGGG